rnacentral:lncRNA from 1 species
UGGCAUAUCUCUAAUGAUAAUUUCCGACAUUAUAUUUGAAAAUAGAAAAAAAAAACUUUUCUGAAUUUUCAAUUUUUUGAAAUUUAUUAUUAUUUUUUCUCUAUUUUAAUUUGAUCUUAUUUAUUUUGAAUUUUUAGUUAUUUUUUAUUUAAUUUUCUAAAUCUUUAUUUAUUUUUCUCACUUUUUUUAAUUUAUGAGUUUUUUUGUUAAUUUUUUUGAUUUUAUUAAUUCUUUUGUUUAUUUAUUAAUUAAAUAAUUAUUUUUCGAAAAAAAAAAACUGUUUUUAACCUGUUCAGCCGGUCAUUUUUCUUUUUUGGAGGUUUUUUAUGAUAAAAAUAUCACUUUGAAAGUUAAAAGUGUUAGUGAAAAAACUUCAAGGUUUAAAGUGCUAGUAAGUGAUACUUUCAAGGUUUUUUAUGCGAUUUUCCCCAUUCAUUUAUAUGGAAAUGAUUGGCAAUAUACAACUCCCUAGAUUUCCCAAGAUCUUGUGAACUAACUCGUCCCAUACAUUACUCCGAUCCGACUAUCACUAUACCUAACAUGC